CCUAUGUGUUGCAUCCGUGGGGAAUAUUGGACAAUGGGGGCAACCCUGAUCCAGCCAUGCCGCGUGUGUGAAGAAGGCCCUCGGGUUGUAAAGCACUUUCAGUGAGGAAGAACGCCUGGUGGUUAAUACCCAUCAGGAAAGACAUCACUCACAGAAGAAGCACCGGCUAACUCCGUGCCAGCAGCCGCGGUAAUACGGAGGGUGCGAGCGUUAAUCGGAAUUACUGGGCGUAAAGCGCGCGUAGGUGGCUUGAUAAGCCGGUUGUGAAAGCCCCGGGCUCAACCUGGGAACGGCAUCCGGAACUGUCAAGCUAGAGUGCAGGAGAGGAAGGUAGAAUUCCCGGUGUAGCGGUGAAAUGCGUAGAGAUCGGGAGGAAUACCAGUGGCGAAGGCGGCCUUCUGGACUGACACUGACACUGAGGUGCGAAAGCGUGGGUAGCAAACAGGAUUAGAUACCCCAGUAGUC
rnacentral:rRNA from 1 species